rnacentral:rRNA from 1 species
AUUGAACGCUGGCGGCAGGCCUAACACAUGCAAGUCGAACGGUAACAGGAAACAGCUUGCUGUUUCGCUGACGAGUGGCGGACGGGUGAGUAAUGUCUGGGAAACUGCCUGAUGGAGGGGGAUAACUACUGGAAACGGUAGCUAAUACCGCAUAACGUCGCAAGACCAAAGAGGGGGACCUUCGGGCCUCUUGCCAUCAGAUGUGCCCAGAUGGGAUUAGCUAGUAGGUGGGGUAACGGCUCACCUAGGCGACGAUCCCUAGCUGGUCUGAGAGGAUGACCAGCCGCACUGGAACUGAGACACGGUCCAGACUCCUACGGGAGGCAGCAGUGGGGAAUAUUGCACAAUGGGCGCAAGCCUGAUGCAGCCAUGCCGCGUGUAUGAAGAAGGCCUUCGGGUUGUAAAGUACUUUCAGCGGGGAGGAAGGGAGUAAAGUUAAUACCUUUGCUCAUUGACGUUACCCGCAGAAGAAGCACCGGCUAACUCCGUG